AAUUAUAAAAAUAUCUCAAAUAUCUGCAUUCACGAAUUAGGUUGAGCUAAUUGUAUUUAUAUGUUAGUGUAUGUUUUGAGUGUAGCAAUAUUCAACUACCAUAUAUAAUUAGGGAUGAAAUAUCAUACAAGUACUAGGAUUUCUUGAAGUAUAUGAAAAGUAUGUAGUACAAAAACAGACAUGAAGUGAUUAGGCUUGAUGUGGGCAUUAUUUUAAUAGUUUAUUCAAUUAAAAUAUAUAACUAUAAUUAUUUAAUUUUUAAAAACAUUUAAUUUUAAUAUAAAUAUGUCAAAUAAUAUACUAUAAUAUAAUAUUGUACAUUUUAUAUAUAAUGUAAUUAUUAGUAACCAAAUAGGUUUACUUUAGGAAUUCGGCAAAUAUUUUUUCAACUGUUUACCAAAAACAUGCCUUAUGUAAAUAUAUAAGGUAUCACCUGCUCAAUGAAUUCUUAAAUAGCCGCAGUACCUUGACUGUGCAAAGGUAGCAUAAUAAUUUGGCUUAUAAUUGAAGUCUGGUAUGAAUGGGCCCCUGGAAAAAUACUGUCUUAAGUAGAUUUCUGAAAUUAAUUAAUAAGUGCAAAUGCUUAUAUAUAAAUAUUAGACGAGAAGACCCUAGAAAUUUUUUGAAUGUUAAUAUACACUAUAUUUUGUUGGGGCGACAAGGUAACAUUAAACUUACCUUAUAUACAUGAAUUUUUUAUAAGGUUAGAAUAAAUUACUCUAGGGAUAACAGCAUAAUAUAUUAAAGUUUGUGACCUCGAUGUUGGACUAGGAAAUACUACAUUUAGAAGAUGUAAUUAUUGGCUCUGUUCGAGCUAAAUUUCCCACAUGAUCUGAGUUCAGACCGG
rnacentral:rRNA from 1 species